rnacentral:rRNA from 1 species
AGCGAACGCUGGCGGCAGGCCUAACACAUGCAAGUCGAACGAACCUUUCGGGGUUAGUGGCGGACGGGUGAGUAACACGUGGGAACGUGCCUUUAGGUUCGGAAUAACUCAGGGAAACUUGUGCUAAUACCGAAUGUGCCCUUCGGGGGAAAGAUUUAUCGCCUUUAGAGGGGCCCGCGUCUGUUUAGCUAGUUGGGUGAGGUAAUGGCGCACCAAGGCGAGGAUCAGUAGCUGGUGUGAGAGGAUGAUUAGCCACAUUGGGACUGAGACACGGCCCAAACUCCUACGGGAGGCAGCAGUGGGGAAUCUUGCGCAAUGGGCGAAAGCCUGACGCAGCCAUGCCGCGUGAAUGAUGAAGGUCUUAGGAUUGUAAAAUUCUUUCACCGGGGACGAUAAUGACGGUACCCGGAGAAGAAGCCCCGGCUAACUUCGUG